rnacentral:rRNA from 1 species
UGGGGAAUAUUGCGCAAUGGGCGAAAGCCUGACGCAGCGACGCCGCGUGAGGGAUGAAGGUCUUCGGAUCGUAAACCUCUGUCAGCAGGGAAGAAAUUUUUAGUGUGCUAAUCAGCAUUAAAUUGACGGUACCUGCAAAGGGAAGCACCGGCUAACUCCGUGCCAGCAGCCGCGGUAAUACGGAGGGUGCGAGCGUUAAUCGGAAUUACUGGGCGUAAAGCGCUCGUAGGUGGUAUGUCAAGUCAAGGGUGAAAUCCCCGCGCUCAACGUGGGGAACUGCCUUUGAAACUGGCAGACUGGAGUGUGUGAGAGGAUAGUGGAAUUCCAGGUGUAGGAGUGAAAUCCGUAGAUAUCUGGAGGAACAUCAGUGGCGAAGGCGACUAUCUGGCACAUAACUGACACUGAGGAGCGAAGCGUGGGGUAGCAAACAGGAUUAGAUACC